GGGUGUUUAGCUCAGUUGGUAGAGCUACGGCCUUACAAGCCGUUGGUCGGGGGUUCGAAUCCCUCAGCACCCA
rnacentral:tRNA from 1 species